rnacentral:tRNA from 1 species
GGAGAGAUGGCUCAGUGGUUAAGAGCAUUGGCUGCUCUUCCAGAGGACCUGGGUUUGAUUCUCAGCUUCUGCA